AGGAUUUUCCCCAUAGGUAACAAUUGUUAAAGAGACGUCUGUAAAACUGCUGCCAGGACACCUCAAACUGCAAAAAAGGUCGGAAUUUGUAAUCUA